rnacentral:rRNA from 1 species
GACAUGUUGGUGGUAGGGAUCCGAAAGGUGACCGACCCUUCGGGGAGCCUUCACAGGUGCUGCAUGGCUGUCGUCAGCUCGUGUCGUGAGAUGUCCGGUUAAGUCCGGUAACGAGCCGCAACCCUCGCUGUGUGUUAUAUGUGUCACACGGGACUGCCGGUCUUAAGCCGGAGGAAGGUGGGAUGAUGUCAAGUCAGCAUGGCCUUUAUAUCCUGGGCUACACACACGCUACAAUGGCCAACACAAUAGGUUGCUAAGCCGCGAGGUGGCGCCAAUCCAUAAAGUUGGUCUCAGUUCAGAUUGUAGGCUGCAACCCGCCUGCAUGAAGAUGGAGUUGCUAGUAACCGCAGGUCAGCUAUACUGCGGUGAAUACGUUCCCGGGGCUU